rnacentral:misc_RNA from 1 species
GAUGAAGAACGCAGCGAAAUGCGAUACGUAAUGUGAAUUGCAGAAUUCAGUGAAUCAUCGAAUCUUUGAACGCAUAUUGCGCUCUCUGGUAUUCCGGAGAGCAUGCUUGUUUGAGUAUCAGUAAACACCUCAACUUCCAUAUCUUUUUUUGAAAUGGGAGUUGGACUUGAGUGAUCCCAACGCUUUUCCUCACCGAAAAGUGGCGGGUUACUUGAAAUGCAGUUGCAGCUGGACUUUUCUCUGAGCUAUAAGCAUAUCUAUUUAGUCUGCCUAAAAAACAGAUUAUUACCUUUGCUGCAGCUAACAUAAAGGAGAUUAGUUCUUGUGCUGACUGAUGCAGGAUUCACAAAGACAGCUUCGGCCGACUUUGUAAACUCGAUCUCAAAUCAAGUAAGACUACCCGCUGAACUUAAGCAUAUCAAUAAGCGGAGGA